GAAACGACUGCUAAGACUGGAUAGGAGACAAGAGGGCAUCUUCUUGUUUUUAAAAGACCUAGUAAUAGGUAUGCUUAGGGAGGAGCUUGCGUCACAUUAGUUAGUUGGUGGGGUAAAGGCCUACCAAGACUAUGAUGUGUAGCCGGGCUGAGAGGUUGAACGGCCACAUUGGGACUGAGACACGGCCCAAACUCCUACGGGAGGCAGCAGUAGGGAAUUUUCGGCAAUGGAGGAAACUCUGACCGAGCAACGCCGCGUGAACGAUGAAGUAUUUCGGUACGUAAAGUUCUUUUAUUAGGGAAGAAUAAAUGAUGGAAAAAUCAUUCUGACGGUACCUAAUGAAUAAGCCCCGGCUAACUAUGUGCCAGCAGCCGCGGUAAUACAUAGGGGGCAAGCGUUAUCCGGAAUUAUUGGGCGUAAAGGGUGCGUAGGCGGUUAAAUAAGUUUAUGGUCUAAGUGCAAUGCUCAACAUUGUGAUGCUAUAAAAACUGUUUAGCUAGAGUAAGAUAGAGGCAAGUGGAAUUCCAUGUGUAGUGGUAAAAUGCGUAAAUAUAUGGAGGAACACCAGUAGCGAAGGCGGCUUGCUGGGUCUUUACUGACGCUGAGGCACGAAAGCGUGGGGAGCAAACAGGAUUAGAUACCCUGGUAGUCCACGCCGUAAACGAUGAGUACUAAACGUUGGGUAAAACCAGUGUUGAAGUUAACACAUUAAGUACUCCGCCUGAGUAGUACGUACGCAAGUAUGAAACUUAAAGGAAUUGACGGGACUCCGCACAAGCGGUGGAUCAUGUUGUUUAAUUCGAAGGUACCCGAAAAACCUCACCAGGUCUUGACAUGCUUCUGCAAAGCUGUAGAAACACAGUGGAGGUUAUCAGUUGCACAGGUGGUGCAUGGUUGUCGUCAGCUCGUGUCGUGAGAUGUUGGGUUAAGUCCCGCAACGAGCGCAACCCUUAUUGUUAGUUACCAGCACGUAAUGGUGGGGACUUUAGCAAGACUGCCAGUGAUAAAUUGGAGGAAGGUGGGGAUGACGUCAAAUCAUCAUGCCCCUUAUGACCUGGGCUACAAACGUGAUACAAUGGCUGUUACAAAGGGUAGCUGAAGCGCAAGUUUUUGGCGAAUCUCAAAAAAACAGUCUCAGUUCGGAUUGAAGUCUGCAACUCGACUUCAUGAAGUUGGAAUCGCUAGUAAUCGCGAAUCAGCAUGUCGCGGUGAAUACGUUCACGGGGUUUGUACACACCGCCCGUCA
rnacentral:rRNA from 1 species